GUGAUUCUAGAAGAAAAGUCUUGAUUGUUCUCAGACUUGCAGGACCUGCUGGGCAGGACAGAAGCAUUGGUUCAAAUGGAGAGUUUGGGGAGGUACAGGGUUAGACCUUCAGAACCCAAACCAGGGCUGAGGCCACCCUUUGUGCUGGUAGGCAGUCUGCACUUGUUCCUUUCAGGCCCCUGGCGAGCAAAAGCAGACAUUCUAAAAAGCAGCAAUUAUCGCUCCUGGUUCCUUUGUACAGAGCUCUGUAAAUAAUUUAUUUGGAUUUGAGGGUCUGGAGAUGGAAACACACAUCUAACCUUUUGGUAACCAGGCGAAUACAGAGUCUGGAACUUAAAGGCAAGUAGAAAACAAGCGAGAAUGAAACGUGUCUCUUUGAAAUCAGAGAAGACAACAAGACCUCAGAGCCCAGGCGGGAGGCUGGAGUUGGCCAGGCUGCAGCUGUAAGGAACUUUUCUCAUGACAUUUAAAGGUCACUCGAGGGGUUUCCACAACCAUCUCGUGAGCCCCUAUAGCUAAGAUUUUGGAGCAACUGUCUGAAGUUGGAAGACACAGACUUGCCCUGGGGCUGGUCCCAAACUCCUCCUGCUGCACUCAAUACCUGCACCAAACAAAGAAAAUUGUGUUUGCCAGGCUGGCUUGCUGAAGUCACAAGAUUCCCAGUAUUGCACAGUGCUCCGGAAUGCCUGUAAAACCUCCCGAGGAGGGGAAGGCUGUGCACCCCACCUUUCAGAUAACCGCAUUUAGUACCAGCCUGAAAAACCAUGUGAUGGUCUCGGACUUGGUGAAGAGGGGCUGGCUUCCUUCCCAGAGAAGAGCCAAAGUUUGUUUCAUCCACACGUGUCCCAGCCUGAAGGUGACUGAGCAGCCAGCGAGCGGAUAUGAGGUACAGCUGGGACUCGUCAAGGUUGGGAGGGCAGGUGAACACUGAGCUCCGAGAUAUACCACAUUCUGAUGGAAGUGGUUGUGGCUACCCCACUGGCCAGGUGUCUACUGUGGCCUAACAAAUUUAAUUUAUUUGUAACUUUUAAAAUAAUUAAAAAAAAAACCUUUAGUUUAUUUCAGCUUUUGAGAUAUGUUGGAGAGAAUAACAUAGCAGAUGAAUGUAAUGACGUAGAAUUGACAACAGAAAUCUGCUCAAUGAUUUUGGAGUUGGGUCGCUGGUAUGCAUACCUGGGAACUGCAGUGCACUCUGUGAACCCGGGAUUUUUAGCCCUGCGAGUUUACACUUAGCUGUCUCUAGGAAGAAAUGCCGGGUUGUCUGCCUGUGUGCUUACCAGGAGAGUUCAUGACUGUCUCGACUGAGUUGAGAUAGCAAGAUUGCAGAACAGUCUCUUAUUCUUUUUAAACAUGAGCUUUAGUUUUCAAGCCCAUACAACUUUUUGGAAAAUGGGAAGGACUUUGCAGUUUGAAAAUGUCAACUAGAGGUAAACACAUCACCCUGAAAAAUAUGUGUAUUCUCCUCUGGGUAGCUGUUAUCUUUUCAUGUGUGUAGACACACAUGAAAUCCGAUCAGCUCUUCACUGUACCUGGAAUAAAUUAUGAAUGACACUGU
ensembl:lincRNA Gm4593 predicted gene 4593